rnacentral:lncRNA from 1 species
UUUAAGUUUCCUCCCAUGCCUAAGUGGAACCAUCCCCCUUUGCCCAAGUUUCCACUUCCCCCAUUCAAAGGCUUCCACCACCAUUAUCCAAUAAUCCCUCCCAUCUACAAGAAACCUCUUCCGCCACCGUCCCCGGUGUACAAGCCCCCUCCAGUUCCCGUAAACCCACCUGUUCCAAUCUAUAAACCUCCACCAGUUCCAGUCUAUAAACCUCCUCCAGUUCCAGUAAAACCACUUCCUCCACCUGUUCCGAUCUACAAACCUCCACCAGUUGAAAAACCACAUCCUCCACCUGUUCCAAUCUACAAACCUCCACCAGUUGAAAAACCACAUCCUCCACCUGUUCCAAUCUACAAACCUCCACCAGUUGAAAAACCACAUCCUCCACCUGUUCCAGUUUAUAAACCUCCACCAGUUGAAAAACCACAUCCUCCACCUGUUCCAGUCUAUAAACCUCCACCAGUUCCAGUAUAUAAGAAACCAUGUCCUCCACCAGUUCCAGUCUAUAAAUCUCCUCCGGUUCCAGUAUACAAGAAACCGCAUCCUCCUCCAGUUCCAGUCUAUAAGAAACCACAUCCACCUCCAGUUCCAGUAUACAAGAAACCAUGUCCUCCCCCAGUUCCAGUCUAUAAAUCUCCUCCAGUUCCGGAACCACAUCCUCCGCCAGUUCCAGUCCAUAAGCCUCCUCCAGUUCCGGUAUACAAGAAACGAGUCCCUCCUCCGGUUCCAAUCUACAAGCCCCCUCCAGUUCCUGUAUACAACAAACCACUACCUCCCCGGGUUCCAGUGUAUACGAAGCCACUUCCACCACCUGUUCCAACCUACAAUCCAAAACCCCUCCCUCCCAUUCCUUACAAGCCACUCCCUCCACUUCCCAAGAUCCCUCCAUUCCCUAAGAAGCCAUGCCCUCCCCUUCCUAAGCUACCUCCUCUUCCCAAGAUUCCUCCCAAGUAUUUCCACCACCACCCUCCUCUUCCUAAGCUGCCUCCUCUCCCUAAGAUUCCUCCCAAGUAUUUCCACCACCACCCCAAGUUCGGAAAAUGGCCUCCUUUGCCACCCUUUGCUCCCCAUCAUCCUUAAGCUAUCUUGCAUUGUUUUACGCAUUUAAUGAAGGUGGUUAGUGUGAACAAGUUCCCCAGCAGUACCUCAUGCAAUAAAUGUAGCAACAAAAGAAG